rnacentral:rRNA from 1 species
CCUACGGGGGGCAGCAGUGGGGAAUUUUCCGCAAUGGGCGAAAGCCUGACGGAGCAAUGCCGCGUGGAGGUAGAAGGCCCACGGGUCGUGAACUUCUUUUCCCGGAGAAGAAGCCCCGGCUAACUUCGUGCCAGCAGCCGCGGUAAUACGAAGGGGGCUAGCGUUGUUCGGAAUUACUGGGCGUAAAGCGCGCGUAGGCGGAUAGAUAAGUCAGAGGUGAAAUCCCGGGGCUCAACCCCGGAAUUGCCUUUGAUACUGUUUAUCUUGAGUGCAGAAGAGGUAAGUGGAAUUCCGAGUGUAGAGGUGAAAUUCGUAGAUAUUCGGAGGAACACCAGUGGCGAAGGCGGCUUACUGGUCUGCAACUGACGCUGAGGCGCGAAAGCGUGGGGAGCAAACAGGAUUAGAUACCCCAGUAGUC